UACGGAGGGUGCGAGCGUUGUCCGGAAUCAUUGGGCGUAAAGGGCGCGUAGGUGGCCUGGUCAGUUCGUGGUGAAAGCGCGGGGCUCAACCCCGCGUCGGCCAUGAAUACUGCUAGGCUUGAGCACUGUAGAGGCAGGCGGAAUUCCGGGUGUAGCGGUGGAAUGCGCAGAGUAUCAGGAAGAACACCAAUGGCGAAAGCAGCUCUCUGGGACGGUACUGACGCUGAGACGCGAAAGCGUGGGGAGCGAACAGG
rnacentral:rRNA from 1 species